CAGACACCUGUAGCUCCUGCUGCUCCAUGAGACAGAAAGAGACGCAGAGACAGAAAGAUGUAGAGAAAGACAAAGAAAGAGACUUGGAAAGGAACUGCCACUAAGAAGAACUACAGGACUUCCUGGAUCCCCCACCAGGGGACACACCCGUGCUCGAACCCAUCAUGACUCCAGAAAGAGGAAGAAGCUGCAGACAAACACUGGCUUCCCAUAUAAACCCUGCUCUGAGGACACAGUGAAUCGAAUCCAUAUAAUGGCCGAUGCGGAUGAGUAGCGUUGGAUCGAACACAGAUUAAAAGGCUCUGAAACAAGGGACAUAAAUCAGCGGGACAGAGUGAGCGGGGGAAACAGCCCAUAAUGAUCACCAGGUGUAACCUGGAAGGUGUCUGGACUCCCACAGAGGCCGACCGGACUGGAGCACGACAUCUGGUCUCUGUGACACUUAAUAUCACUUUAUGUACAAGUGCAUAC